AUGGCUCAGGAUGAACGCUAGCUACAGGCUUAACACAGUGCAAGUCGAGGGGUAGCAGGGUAGCAAUACCGCUGACGACCGGCGCACGGGUGAGUAACACGUAUCCAACCUUCCCAUAACUCAGGGAUAGCCUUUCGAAAGAAAGAUUAAUACCUGAUAGUACUUUUUCAAGGCAUCUUGAGAAGUUAAAGAUUUAUUGGUUAUGGAUGGGGAUGCGUUCCAUUAGAUAGUUGGUGAGGUAACGGCUCACCAAGUCUUCGAUGGAUAGGGGUUCUGAGAGGAAGGUCCCCCACAUUGGUACUGAGACACGGACCAAACUCCUACGGGAGGCAGCAGUGAGGAAUAUUGGUCAAUGGGCGAGAGCCUGAACCAGCCAAGUAGCGUGAAGGAUGAAGGUCCUAUGGAUUGUAAACUUCUUUUAUAGUAGAAUAAAGUGAUCCACGUGUGGAUUUUUGUAUGUAUACUAUGAAUAAGGAUCGGCUAACUCCGUGCCAGCAGCCGC
rnacentral:rRNA from 1 species